ensembl:lncRNA
UUUUUUUCCUCCCUUAUAGUCUGUUAAAUUGACUAAUAAACUCAACACAGCGUUCUCUGUGCGGCUUCAAAAAACUCAGUAAUUUCGUUAGAAAACGUUGAAACCCAACUCUAAAGUAUUCAGCCCAAAUGUUUAGUUAAAGUAACCCCGUGGGUUAAUAAACUAAACAAAGGCAACCCAUGCAAAACCGGAGCAAUGAAAACCAGGCUACAUAAACGAAGGGAAGUUUAUAAGAACUCUUUCGGAGGAAAAAAAGAGAAAAGGCACCGGGCACGGAGGUUUAAUGUGAAGCAUGUGAGCGGGGCUCAGUUUACAGCUUCCAUGAGAACUUCUUCCCAGAACUUCUACAAAUCCUGGGUGCGCAGAAACCAGGCCCUGGACGCUGGUCCUCCUUGCCUUCAGAUCCUGAUGGAGGUUGGAGGGGGUUGCACUGGAGCCCCGUGGAUGAAGAGUUCUAGGCCUGAACACAGAGUCCCGAAAGAUUUUGGAAGCACCCUGGAGACAGAAAUCCCACAGGUAGAGGCUAGUGACUCUUUUCAGUAGCACCUACUUUCCCAAGUGGGCUUUGCCAGGCCAGAGUGUGCUGGAGAGGGAGAGGGCGUGCAAUUCCUGAUUAGGGACUUAUCUUUAAACGGCUGGUUUUUGUGAGCUUGGCAUCACCAGCAUUCCCUCCAAGGAUAGCCUCUGCUCACCUUAAAUAUUUCAUAGCAGGUGCCCUGGGUGAGGGGGUUGGAAUGCCAGUGUCUGGCCCAUAAACGUCUCACAUAUAAAGUUAUACGCUCCCAUUUCAACUGCAGCACAGAGGGGGAUCCCGGUGCAAGAGGACACUCCAGCUUUUGGCUCAAGCAGAAAAUUAUGAUUGAACGAAGAAGCUGCGAUGUUUAAAUUCACCCACAAUCUGGAAGAUGUUUUGCCCAGGAACUCAGACGUGAGGUAUUGGGAGAAAGUGACACUAAGAAUCUUUCCUUGCCUUCACUUGGGCCUCAUGAUCGCUCCCAACCCUGCCCAGUCGCCCCACCAGCAUGAGGCAAAUAACUGUCUUUAGCUCCGAACAUUAAUAUUAAGACAUCAGCAUCGCAUUAGUCUGCAGUGGACCAUCAACGAUCAAGAAAAAAAUACAAAAGAGAAAUGAAAUAGUUCAUCCGAAAAGUCCUACUGUCAUCGUGUUUAUUUUUUGCUUUGCUAAGCCCAGGAUAUAAUUUACUCACUGCUCUCUUGCAAACAAAAGGGUCGUGCUAGCCUGACACGGAUGAAAAGCCCCUCUCAAAAUCCCCAAGGAAAUUACAACUGGGCAGGAAUUCAGGAGCCGUUUUUAUACCAAGCCUGAAGCACCAACUUGCACAGUGCCUUCCCAGGAUGAACACUGAAGAGGCCAAGAUUUUAAAAAGGAAGGAAGGAAGGAGAAUCUUGAGGAGUAAUAAUAAUAAGUAUCAUUUAUCUGCCUCCUACUUAAUACAAGCAAUUUACCUACCUUACUUCAUUUCAUACUUACAGCAAAGCUGUAGGGUUGGCUGGGCAUGGUGGCUCUAGCCUGUAAUUCCAGCACUUUGGGAGGCCAAGGCGGAUCAUUUGAGGUCAGGAGCUUCAGACCAGCUUGACCAAUAUGGUGAAACCCCGUCUCUACUAUUUAAAAAAAAAAAAAAAUCUGUAAGGUAAAUAUUGUAAUACCGACACCUACUUUAUUGAUAAUAUAAAAUACUUAUACGAUAGUUAUUAUAUGCCUAGCACUAUGGUGUUUUACAUUCAUUUAUACCUUACAACAUCGCCAUAUAGGGAGGAAUAUUAUCCCCAUUUUACAGAAGAAAAACUGAAGCACACAGAGAUGAUCUAAUCUGUCUCAGGUCACGUGGCCAUAAAUGGCCAGGGAUGGAUUGGAAUCCAGACUUGUGAUAUCUUGAGACACUAUACCAUCAAAGUAAGUGACGGGCUGGGAGAAGUUGGGGCUUAUCUGAGGUUCCAGGGAGGACGCCAAGGAGCCGGGACUGGAGCCGGUAUCUUGUGAGUAGGGAUUGUGGUGCGCCGCCUGUACGCAAGGAGCCACCCGCCGCAAUGCAGAAGGGCGGCGAGUCGCCCUCGGGGCCCACAGCGCCGUCGGGCAAAGAACCAGAGGCGUGCAGCGAGUGCAGCGCCCGGGAGUCAGGGCUGUUAGUGGCGUGACCCGCCGGGUAUUGACCUAUUUUCUCCACCGCCUGGUCCCCCGCGGCCUAGGCCCGGUGUUUAGUUUUGCAGAUAUGUCAAAGGGAACAUUCAGGACGGGUGGGCUCCUGGGAGCCCGCCCCGACCCUCCGGAGCACUAGGAGGCGCGGGGCCUCUGAGAUCCGGCCUGCCAGAUUGAGACGGGAGAGGAGGGGGCCUGGUCCAGCAGCUGGACAGCCGGGCAGUGCUCGCAGCCCGCGGGUGGGCGCCCAGCUGCCUUUGCACGGAUGAGGGGCGCAGCCUGCAUUUCCCUCCUGGACCGGGACCGCCGAGCGCGUCCCGGCGGGCCUCAGAGUGAGCUUCUCGUGGAUGUGCUGCGCGCACCCCAGGGAGAUGUGCGGCGUCCGCGCGGGUCAGCGGCCAAGUACCACUCCCCAGAGCACGCUUCCCUUGCGCGGCGAGUUAGAACUCAGGUCAGAACGGAGCUGAGCGGUUGGCGGAGUGGAGAAAGGUCCCGGAAAUUGGCCAGGAGGGGGCGGUUUCGAGGUAGUGCCUUCAAAGUGUUGUCAAGACCAGCAGGGAGGGUCGCCUCCACCUGCGGGACCUCCUCCAACUCCACAAGGUAGCUCGAUCUGCCCGACAUAGAUAGGGGUCUGAGACCACUGCUCCCACUGAAUGGCGCCGCCUGCGGGCUGGCCCGGGCUCUGUGCAGCGGCUUUGUCUCAUUUUCUUCUCACCGUUAAUAACUGGCAAGGCAGUGUGAUCACCCUACUUAAGAGAAGACAUCUUGUUCUAAUCGCUUAGCACAGCGCCCAGUACUUCUAGGGGAGUAACGCAUGCCAGUUCCUCCCAUUUUAUAGGAGGAAGGCGCCGAGAGGGUAAACAGUCUCAAUAGAUACAACCAGUAGGUGCCCGAGUGUCCACUGGAAUGGGUCUGCGAACAGUCACCUGAUGUCUGGACCCCUUUUACUUCCCCCACUGACCUUUGGGAGACCAGUGUUUCAGAGAAACUCGGGGUGGGAGCUGUGGGUAGAACUGGGAGGAUGGAGGGGGAGGAAAGUCCUUCCCAGAAAAUCGGAAAGGCAGAAGGUCCAUUAGAGGGCUGUGAAGUUCUAGUUGGGCAGGGAGCUUUGAAUCAUUACUAUAAUCAAAUGAGAAGCACUUGAGUGCCGACCACUUGUCCAGUGCUGUGCUGGGCCCUUUACAGAUAAGCUGUGUUUUCCAUCUUGGCUGCACGUGGGGAAUGUUUGGGGAAUUUUAAAAAUCUGAUGCCCAGAGCAAUUAAAUCAUCAUUUCUAGGAGUAGGACCAAAGCAUCAGUUUUUAAAGCUUCCCAAGUAAUUCCAAUGUACAACCAUGCUUGAGGACUUCUGCCUUGGGGAAAUUAUCUUAAUCCUCACAACUCCUCCACAUAGCAGUUACCAUUAUGAUGCCCAUUUCAUCAGUAAGAAAAGCAAGCCUUAGAGAGGACUUGUAUUUGGUCCGAGUCAGCCCAGAGAGAAGCACAGGUUAAUCUGGCAUGACACAGCAGACAUCCAGCCUGUCUGGGCUGAGUCCCCUUCUAACUUUCACCCCCAGAAGUUUACUGUGCUGGAAAGACACCCUGAGGUCAUAGCAGGAAGAGGCAGGAAGGCUUCUGAAGUUUCACAGCUUCAGGCAGAGAGCUAUAUUCAGGGUCUUGAGUAGAGAGGGAGGCAGGAUGGGAAGAAGGGGAAAGUAAUAGCUUUGAUUUUCUUUGGGAAAAAGUAGGUUAGGUUCCCAGAUGACCCUGCAUUCCAGAGGGCCCUGCCUGGGUCUAUUACUUGAAAAGGUGGCAUGUGAUGACUCAAGCCCAGCCACAUGGAUGAAGACUCAUCCCUUAGGAAGCCUGGAGUAGUGAAAUGAACAUUGGACUAGGAGUCAGGAAAUUGAAAGCCUAUCCUAGCUGAGCCAUUGGCUGGCAGCAUCACCUCGAGCAAGUCAUAACCUCUGGGCCUGUUUUCUCUCCUGUAAAAUAAAGUGGUUGGAUAGCAUUAUCUCUAAGGUUGCUUCCUGCUCAUACAUUUUAUGGUUAUUUCCAGCCCUGGUGUGAAUAAACUUAAGUCUGGAUUCAAGUUGGAAAUACAAAUGACAAUAGUUUAGCAUCUUCAUGAUCUCAAUUGCUUUUCAGACCUUCCCUAAAAGAAGGACUUGCUAGUUCCAUUUUCAUAAUUAGGGAAACUGAGGCUCCAAGUUAUUCUGAUUCUCCUAGUAGAUUCUACUUCUACUCCUGGUAACGUGUCUCCUUUCAACCCAUCUGUUCAGGUCUUAUAGGUCAUUCUGUGGUUGGAGAACCUCGGGGCAUUCGGAGAAGUAGGGCGCUGGACAGAACAGGGCAGACAGCUCAAGGCCUUAAAAACACCCUAAAUAAGCUGCAGAAUUUAAGCAAGGUCAGGGCAAAUUUUGUCUGUGGGAAGGGAGUUGGCGG